AUAUGUCUUUCCAGCUUCAACCUCCAUGGCAAAAGUAUCUGGAAAGUGAAUCGCAAAGGAAAACCAAAUCAUCAUCAGUGCUAUGUUCACUGAAACUGGUGCCAAAGACCCAAAAGCUUUCUCCAAUUAAUAUUGCUUACGUUUUUCCGAACAAGGGAAGAGCGGCCCUGGCUUGCCAUUGAUUGUGUGAGCAUCAGACAUAUUUGGUGGCACGCCCAUGCUGGAUCCUUGGUUGACAACCGCCUCCACAUCAUUAUUCCACCAUUCUCCUGCACCAGAGGUCCAUCUGCCCACCCAUUUCGAUACUGCUUCAAUCCAUGCCUGCAGAAUAUGCAGAAGGCGACAGAGAUAAACCAACUUCUGCAGAAAAUGAGAUUAAUCCUAAACAACAGGCAACGAAGAGAAAUGUCAGACGAUGAAUGAACCAAACCAAGCGGGCCAUUGUCUUUUGGCAAUGGCUUUUUUUCUUUUUUUCCCGAGG